rnacentral:rRNA from 1 species
UAAAGCCUGUAACACCAACCGUCCGGGGAAACCCGGGCGGGGCCCUCACGGGGUGGUAAGAGAGUACAGGAUGCACAAUGGACGAUCCGCAGCGAAGACCCUACCGGCGAGAGCCCACGGGUACCGUUCACAGACUAAGUGAUUGUGGGUGGGGUGCACGGCACCCCUCUAAGAUAUAGUCGGCCUCUGUCUUAAUAGACGGAGCCUAGCGUGUCCGUAGGUGAACCUGCGGAAGGAUCAUUAAUGAAAAGAGAAAAAGCCCCGUUUUUGUUCGUCAAGAUGGGUUCUAUUCCCAAAACCGUGUCUACCUUACCUUUGUUGCUUUGGCGGGCCGCCUUCGGGCGUCGGCUCCGGCUGACCGCGCCUGCCAGAGGACCCAAACUCUGUGUUUAGUGAUGUCUGAGUACUAUAAAAUAUUUAAAACUUUCAACAACGGAUCUCUUGGUUCUGGCAUCGAUGAAGAACGCAGCGAAAUGCGAUAAGUAAUGUGAAUUGCAGAAUUCAGUGAAUCAUCGAAUCUUUGAACGCACAUUGCGCCCCUUGGUAUUCCGAGGGGCAUGCCUGUUCGAGCGUCAUUAUGACCACUCAAGCCUAGCUUGGUAUUGGGGUUCGCGUGCCCGCGGCCCUUAAAAUCAGUGGCGGUGCUGUCUGGCUCUAAGCGUAGUAAUUUUAUCGCUACAGGGUACGGGCGGUUGCUUGCCAGAAUCCCCCACUUCUUAGGUUGACCUCGGAUCAGGUAGGGAUACCC